rnacentral:rRNA from 1 species
GACGAACGCUGGCGGCGUGCUUAACACAUGCAAGUCGAACGGAAGGGCCUGCUUUGCCUUUUGGUUUGCGGGUACUCGAGUGGGGAACGGGUGAGUAACACGCUAGUGGUCUGGCCCCAACUUGGGUAUAAGCCUGGGAAACUGGGUCUAAUUUCCGAUAGGACUGGAGGGUGGUUCCUGUGGUGGGAUACGAUUUUCUCGUGGGUGGGGAUGAGCCCGCGGCCUAUUAGGGUGUUGGUGGGGUCAUGGCCCGCCAAGGCGGUGACGGGGAGCCAGCGUGGGAGGGUGGACGGCGACAGUGGGACUGGGACACGGCCCAGACGGCUACGAGAGGCAGCAGUUAGGGAUAUUGGGCAAUAGGCGUAAGCCUGAUGCAGCGACGCCGCGUGGGAGAUGUCGGGCUUGGGAUUGUAAACUCCUUGCGACCGAGAGGAAGACACCUGGUUGGAACGGUGGUGACGGUAGUGAUAGAAGAAGCACCGGCUAACUACGUG